rnacentral:rRNA from 1 species
GCGGCGUGCCUAAUACAUGCAAGUCGAGCGAGUUUCUGAUGAUCUGAGAUUCGUCAAAGAGAAUCAGAGGAAAGCGGCGGACGGGUGAGUAACGCGUAGGCAACCUUCCCUUAGCAGAGGGAUAGCCAUUGGAAACGAUGAUUAAAACCUCAUAAUGCUGAAGAGUCACAUGUCUUUUCAGCCAAAGAUUUAUCGGCUAAGGAUGGGCCUGCGUCUGAUUAACUAGUUGGUGAGGUAACGGCCCACCAAGGUGACGAUCAGUAGCCGACCUGAGAGGGUGAUCGGCCACAUUGGAACUGAGACACGGUCCAAACUUCUACGGGAGGCAGCAGUGGGGAAUAUUGGGCAAUGGGCGAAAGCCUGACCCAGCAACGCCGCGUGAGGGAAGAAGGGUUUCGGCUCGUAAACCUCUGUCCUAUGGGACGAAGAAGUGACGGUACCCUGUUAGAAAGCCCCGGCUAACUACGUGCCAGCAGCCGCGGUAAUACGUAGGGGGCGAGCGUUGUCCGGAAUUACUGGGCGUAAAGGGAGCGUAGGCGGCAUGUUAAGUUUGGAUGUGAAACCCCCGGGCUUAACUUGGGAACUGCAUCCAAUACUGGCAAGCUAGAGUACAGGAGAGGGAAGCGGAAUUCCUAGUGUAGCGGUGAAAUGCGUAGAUAUUAGGAGGAACACCAGUGGCGAAGGCGGCUUUCUGGACUGUAACUGACGCUGAGGCGCGAAAGCAUGGGGAGCAAACAGGAUUAGAUACCCUGGUAGUCCAUGCUGUAAACGAUGGAUACUAGGUGUAGGGGGUAUCGACUCCCUCUGUGCCGCAGUUAACACAAUAAGUAUCCCACCUGGGGAGUACGGCCGCAAGGUUGAAACUCAAAGGAAUUGACGGGGGCCCGCACAAGCGGAGGAACAUGUGGUUUAAUUCGAUGAUACGCGAGGAACCUUACCCGGGCUCGAACGGCUGGUGAACGAUUCAGAGAUGAAGAGGUCCUUCGGGACGCCAGUCGAGGUGCUGCAUGGUUGUCGUCAGCUCGUGUCGUGAGAUGUUGGGUUAAGUCCCGCAACGAGCGCAACCCCUAUUGUUAGUUGCUACGCAAGAGCACUCUAGCGAGACUGCCGUUGACAAAACGGAGGAAGGCGGGGACGACGUCAAAUCAUCAUGCCCCUUAUGUCCUGGGCUACACACGUAAUACAAUGGUGGUAAACAGAGGGAAGCAAUGUGGUGACACGGAGCAAAUCCCUAAAAGCCAUCUCAGUUCGGAUUGCAGGCUGCAACUCGCCUGCAUGAAGCUGGAAUCGCUAGUAAUCGCAAAGCAGCAUGCCGCGGUGAAUACGUUCCCGGG